GACGAACGCUAGCGGCGUGCUUAACACAUGCAAGUCGAACGGUGAACGAGGGAGCUUGCUCCCUCCGGAUCAGUGGCGAACGGGUGAGUAACACGUGAGCAAUCUGCCCUGGACUCUGGGAUAAGCGUUGGAAACGACGUCUAAUACCGGAUACGAGACGCGAAGGCAUCUUCAGCGUCUGGAAAGAACUUCGGUCCAGGAUGAGCUCGCGGCCUAUCAGGUAGUUGGUGAGGUAACGGCUCACCAAGCCUACGACGGGUAGCCGGCCUGAGAGGGUGACCGGCCACACUGGGACUGAGACACGGCCCAGACUCCUACGGGAGGCAGCAGUGGGGAAUAUUGCACAAUGGGCGCAAGCCUGAUGCAGCAACGCCGCGUGAGGGACGACGGCCUUCGGGUUGUAAACCUCUUUUAGCAGGGAAGAAGCGAAAGUGACGGUACCUGCAGAAGAAGCACCGGCUAACUACGUGCCAGCAGCCGCGGUAAAAC
rnacentral:rRNA from 1 species